UAUAAGCAAUUUAUACAGUGAAACUGCGAAUGGCUCAUUAAAUCAGUUAUCGUUUAUUUGAUAGUUCCUUUACUACAUGGUAUAACUGUGGUAAUUCUAGAGCUAAUACAUGCUUAAAAUCUCGACCCUUUGGAAGAGAUGUAUUUAUUAGAUAAAAAAUCAAUGUCUUCGGACUCUUUGAUGAUUCAUAAUAACUUUUCGAAUCGCAUGGCCUUGUGCUGGCGAUGGUUCAUUCAAAUUUCUGCCCUAUCAACUUUCGAUGGUAGGAUAGUGGCCUACCAUGGUUUCAACGGGUAACGGGGAAUAAGGGUUCGAUUCCGGAGAGGGAGCCUGAGAAACGGCUACCACAUCCAAGGAAGGCAGCAGGCGCGCAAAUUACCCAAUCCUAAUUCAGGGAGGUAGUGACAAUAAAUAACGAUACAGGGCCCAUUCGGGUCUUGUAAUUGGAAUGAGUACAAUGUAAAUACCUUAACGAGGAACAAUUGGAGGGCAAGUCUGGUGCCAGCAGCCGCGGUAAUUCCAGCUCCAAUAGCGUAUAUUAAAGUUGUUGCAGUUAAAAAGCUCGUAGUUGAACUUUGGGCCCGGUUGGCCGGUCCGAUUUUUUCGUGUACUGGAUUUCCAACGGGGCCUUUCCUUCUGGCUAACCUUGAGUCCUUGUGGCUCUUGGCGAACCAGGACUUUUACUUUGAAAAAAUUAGAGUGUUCAAAGCAGGCGUAUUGCUCGAAUAUAUUAGCAUGGAAUAAUAGAAUAGGACGUUUGGUUCUAUUUUGUUGGUUUCUAGGACCAUCGUAAUGAUUAAUAGGGACGGUCGGGGGCAUCAGUAUUCAAUUGUCAGAGGUGAAAUUCUUGGAUUUAUUGAAGACUAACUACUGCGAAAGCAUUUGCCAAGGACGUUUUCAUUAAUCAAGAACGAAAGUUAGGGGAUCGAAGAUGAUCAGAUACCGUCGUAGUCUUAACCAUAAACUAUGCCGACUAGGGAUCGGGUGGUGUUUUUUUAAUGACCCACUCGGCACCUUACGAGAAAUCAAAGUCUUUGGGUUCUGGGG
rnacentral:rRNA from 1 species